AUGCCAUGCCACGGACAUUUCCUUAACAUGUCCUUGUACCUCUCCCAAGUGUCAUACAAGGUUUCUGACUCCAACUGCAUAUAUGAGGAAAUGCCACUUAUGAGCUU